UCAGGAAGACCUCGGUUCAGAUCCAGCCUGGGUCACUUACUAGCUGGGUGACUGAACGAGUCACUUCACCACUGUCAGUUGUAAAAUAGUAAGAACAUCUACCUCUCUGGGUCAUUGUGAGUGUCGAAUGGCAUAACCAAUGUAAAGGAUUGUACAAACUUUAAAAAGUUCUGUAAAUGCUAACUCUUCUUUUUAGGGAAGGAGCCCAUGAAACAUGGAAGCCCAGAACAAAGAUGAUGUGGUUGCCCUAUCAGUCAGAAGGCAAAGAAUGCUUAAUUCAUAGGAUUAUAUUUCUAGAGUCAGAGGGAGUCUUGAAGCCCAUUCAGAAUCAGUCCCCCCAUUUUACAGAUGAGGAACUAAACACUAUAGGAGUCAAGUGGCUGAGCCAGCGUCACACAGGAGGUGUGAUUUGCGUGCAGGGUCUCUGAUUCCAGAGCCACGGCACUUUUUACACAAUCUCACGGCCUUCUCUGUAUGAAUCUCUGUACCAGGAAGCCACAGAGAUAGCUGAGACAUUGUCUUAUCCUCAGUUACUACUUAGAUUGUAAUCAUUGACCAUAAGUCGAAAGCUGAUAACAGUCAGGAUUCAGGGCAUAUACAGAAGCCAGAGGUCAGGGAGAGCAGAUGAGAAAAACUAGAGGUAAGAGAAUCUUGCUUUAAAUGCUCACAGCAACCACAGGAACCACAGCCUGGCCUUGCAGGGGUAGGUCAGCACAGGUGUAGAGCAGGGCGCCCUAGUGACAUGAGUUGGGAGGUAGGUUGGCCUGGAGUGGAGAGAGAUGUUCAGAAACCAGGAAACACACUGAUAGUCCGCCCCACACAGUGCUACCAGCAGAGCGGGGCCAGCAGAGGGAUCCCCUUUUGCCAUUGUCAGUGAUCUCUAGAGAGAGUACAUCUUCAGUGUUACUCUCGAUCAAAUAAAGGUGAAACAGGUUCAAAGUGUGUCCAUUCCUCUGCCCUUCUUGAAUAACAUCAGAUUCCUCAUCCUGCUCAGCAGGCACCUCCCUCUGAUAAAAAUUAGUGAGGACUUAGAUGGACUUAGGGCAGCUGUGAGACAGAAUGCAAAUCCUGCUGUUGCCUCCGUUUUGCUGCUGAGGCUCUCCGGUAGUGAAGAUGUAAGUAUUCACACUGCUUCCCGAGUCAUCCAAGGCAUCCAUCUCCUCUUUGAUCAUAGUGCUUCACUUUUGACAUAGGUAUUUCCCGAAUGUGAUUCUGAUGAUGACGAUGAUAAUGACAGCUGGUAUUUACGUACCCUGAUGAGUCUUGCAAAAUGCUUUACCUGUGUUAUCUAACUGGGUCCUCACAACGACCUUCUGAGGUAGGUGCAGUUGUUAUCACCGUUUUCCAGACGAGGACAGUGCUGCUGAGAGAGGUUCAGUGAUUUGCCCAGAGUCUCUCAGCUAGUAAGUAACUCAAACUCCAACCUCCUUGACCGUGUGGCUUAGUUCGAAGUGUUAGUAGUCAUGCUCAAAUUUUGAGUCUUGAUGAGUUUUGUUUUGUCAUUUGCCAAAAAAUAUUUUGGGUCUUCUGGCCCCUUCGUCCUUUCUCUAGCUUGCUGUGUUUGCUGGGCAGCUCUGGCCAGAUCUAUAAGUUUUUGAGAAAUUUGAAGUGUAUUUUCAAGCUGCCAAGAAUCUCAGACUUAGGAUGCUUGACUUCAGUAACUAACUCUUCUUCUGUGCCUGGUAACGUGCAUUUCCUUGUUUAUUUUAAUUAGUUUUUGUUUUAUGUAUUAUUAAAGACAGUUGUCCCAUUUUAUCUGUAUUUUAUUUUGCAGCCCAUGAGGCAGAAUACAAAUCUUUAACAAAAAUAGUGUCAGCCACUCUCCCAAGUUGUCUUUUGGAUUCUUUUGCCAGCUAUGGGAUUUUAAAGUUGGCUGCCAAGUACUAGAGCUUAGCAUUGCAAUCCAACCAACUACAGCCUUGCCCUGGCUGAACUCCACAGAGGUUGGAGGUCACUGUGCUAGGUGGACGAGAAUCAGCCGACUCUCUGGUAAAGGGCGGCACUCUUUUGGCAGCUUUUGAGAAGCUACAUCUGUUUUUGUUCUCUUUUCUGAAAUAAGUGAAGGAUCACACGUUGCUGUGCAAUUCGCAGCUCUUUUUGUAUGUGGAAUCCAGCCUUUUGGGACCAGAUUCAGGGAUACUCCUUUCAUUAUCAGCAUUCCCUUCUUUCUUUUGUUUCUCUAGAUGCAGAGACGUUAGAGGUUCUUAUGGUUUGUUGGGGAGAGCUAGUUGCUGGUUCUUCUGGAGCCAAAACCAUUCCUUUUUGAUCUUCUGUGUUCUCUGAUCUCAUGGUCACCAGACUUCACAGAUUUUUAAUGUUCAGGGAAAUUGGUACCUGAUGUAAGAGGCAGGAAAAGCCGAUCCAGCCUCAGGCCUCAUGCAGGCAACUGCUUAUUGGAGCUGAGAGUCUAAGCUUCCAGGCCUCAGUGGAGAUCCAGGAGGCUGCCAGGAUCCAGGAGGCUGCCAGGACCCAGGACAAAAAAGGAGUAGUUUCCAAGGUUUGUGACACCCCAGUGGUACAAGUUUCCAAAUCCCUGGCAAUCCAGACUGGGCUAGUUUCCUGGAAAAGUACCUGCCAGAGAAGCAUAUGAAGGUGGCAGAUAGCCACCCCAACAUCCAUGUGCCCACCUGGAGUGAAGUCUCUUCUGGGCCUGCAGUUACCACAUGAGACAAGACAGGGCUCUUUUUUUCCUUAGAUGUACAUUUCGAACCCAGCUUUGGCAAGUGACUAAUAUGGGGACAGUUAUAGCCCCACUGAGUACACAUCCGAAUUUGUUACUGGGAGUGGAGGAAAAUAUUUGUUCAAUAAUGUUGUGGUGAAUUCACUCUCCUCUUUCAAAUAUUUUAUUGAAAUGGAUUUUUUAUUUAGGAACAGAAACUUGAAAUGUGGUAUUACUUCUUUAAGCCCUUAGAUUCUUUCUUUUGCAAAUAAAAGUAUAUGUUAUA